UACGUAGGGGGCAAGCGUUGUCCGGAUUCAUUGGGCGUAAAGAGCGUGUAGGCGGCCAGGUAGGUCGGUUGUGAAAACUGGAGGCUCAACCUUCAGAGGUCGACCGAAACCAUCUGGCUAGAGUCCGGGAGAGGAGAGUGGAAUUCCUGGUGUAGCGGUGAAAUGCGCAGAUAUCAGGAGGAACACCGGUGGUGUAGACGGCUUUCUGGACCGUAACUGACGCUGAGACACGAAAGCGUGGGUAGCAAACAGG
rnacentral:rRNA from 1 species